AAUAUGUGACAUUGGAGGAAACUCUGAUGCAGCGACGCCGCGUGAACGAUUAAGGCCUUCGGGUCGUAAAGUUCUGUCCUGGGGGACGAUUAUGACGGUACCCCAGGAGGAAGCCCCGGCUAACUACGUGCCAUCAGCCGCGGUAAUACGUAGGGGGCGAGAUUUGUCCGGAAUCUUUUGGCGUCAAGGGUUCAUAGGCGGUUUUUUAAGUCAGAUGUGAAAGGUCACGGCUCAACCUUGGUAAGCAUUUGAAACUGAAAGACUGGAGUUAAGGAGAGGACAGUGGAAUUCCUAGUGUAGCGGUGAAAUGCGUAGAUAUUAGGAGGAAUACCAGUGGCGAAGGCGACUUUCUGGACUUAUACUGACGCUGAGGAACGAAAGCGUGGGGAGCAAACAG
rnacentral:rRNA from 1 species